rnacentral:lncRNA from 1 species
UUUAUCAUUUUAGUACUAUGUGAUUUAAAAUAUAUCAAGUUAGCCCCUGUGAUUUCGCACUUUCUCACUUUAGCACCCUGUGGUUUUAAGUGUAUCAAGUUAGUACCCUAUAAUUUCAUUUCUCUUUUUAUUAUCCAUUUCACUAAUUUUUUUCGUUAAAUCAAUGACAAAGUUAAAAUUAAAAGGUACUAAAGUGAAUAUUCGAUAAAGUUAGGUAAGGUAUCCGAAGUUUUUUGUAUAUAAUUUAACGAAAUAUUAACGGAGGAAAAAAAAUAGUGACAAAAUUAAAACUAAAGGGUACUAAACUAAAUAUUCGAUAAACCUAGGUAGGGUAUCUGAAGUUUUUUGUAUAUAAUUUAAUGAAAUAUUAACAGAGGAGUUGACGAAAAAAGAAAACUGAAACCAUAUGGUACUAAAUUGAUGCACUUUAAACCAUAGGGUACUCAAGUGAGAAAGUGCGAAACCACAUGGUACUAAAUUGUUGAAGCAUAAA